GGAUGCGAUCAUACCAGCACUAAAGCAUCGGAUCCCAUCAGAACUCCGAAGUUAAGCGUGCUUGGGCGCGAGUAGUACUAGGAUGGGUGACCUCCUGGGAAGUCCUCAUGUUGCAUUCC
rnacentral:rRNA from 1 species